CGAUCUUCUGGCUCAGAUUGAACGCUGGCGGCGUGCUUAACACAUGCAAGUCGAACGUGAAAGUCCUUCGGGGCGAGUAAAGUGGCGCACGGGUGAGUAACGCGUGGAUAAUCUACCCUUAAGAUGGGGAUAACGGCUGGAAACGGUCGCUAAUACCGAAUACGCUCCCGAUUUUAUCGUUGGGGGGAAAGAUGGCCUCUGCUUGCAAGCUAUCGCUUAAGGAUGAGUCCGCGUCCCAUUAGCUAGUUGGCGGGGUAACGGCCCACCAAGGCAACGAUGGGUAGCCGGUCUGAGAGGAUGACCGGCCACACUGGAACUGGAACACGGUCCAGACUCCUACGGGAGGCAGCAGUGGGGAAUAUUGCGCAAUGGGCGAAAGCCUGACGCAGCGACGCCGCGUGAGGGAUGAAGGUUCUCGGAUCGUAAACCUCUGUCAGGGGGGAAGAAACCCCCUCGUGUGAAUAAUGCGAGGGCUUGACGGUACCCCCAAAGGAAGCACCGGCUAACUCCGUGCCAGCAGCCGCGGUAAUACGGAGGGUGCAAGCGUUAAUCGGAAUCACUGGGCGUAAAGCGCACGUAGGCGGCUUGGUAAGUCAGGGGUGAAAUCCCACAGCCCAACUGUGGAACUGCCUUUGAUACUGCCAGGCUUGAGUACCGGAGAGGGUGGCGGAAUUCCAGGUGUAGGAGUGAAAUCCGUAGAUAUCUGGAGGAACACCGGUGGCGAAGGCGGCCACCUGGACGGUAACUGACGCUGAGGUGCGAAAGCGUGGGUAGCAAACAGGAUUAGAUACCCUGGUAGUCCACGCUGUAAACGAUGGGUGCUGGGUGCUGGGAUGUAUGUCUCGGUGCCGUAGCUAACGCGAUAAGCACCCCGCCUGGGGAGUACGGUCGCAAGACUGAAACUCAAAGGAAUUGACGGGGGCCCGCACAAGCGGUGGAGCAUGUGGUUUAA
rnacentral:rRNA from 1 species